UCUACCCUACAGCGUGACCCUGCGCCUCUCAGAGCCCCCACCCCACUGGGUGACCCUGGACCUUUCAUUGCUCCCCCACAAGGUGACCCUGGAACCAUCUGCAUCCCUCAGUGCCCCUUUCACAGGGUGACCCUGCACCCAUCACUUCCCUCCCCCACAAGAUGAUUGUGAACCCCCAGGUGCCUCCCUCACAAGGUGACUCCUGUAUCCCCACAAAGCCUAUGGAACAGCCCACCCAGGGAGCUGUUUGGGGGCUUGAGGAACCCAGCACAGGGCCCUUCUCCAAGCAUUUUUCUCCUGCUGUCUCUGACUGCUCCAUCUGUCCUGUGUGUUCAUAUCUGUCUCUUUGCCAUCCUCCCUUCCCUGAUUACCUCAAUUUCUCAUCUGUCCCCUCAUGCUACCUGCCAAGUCAUUCACCUCUAAGUCUGCCUGCCCCACUCAGUCAUUCCGUGCACUCCUUUGCUGCCCUGUGCCCCUCAGUCAUUGAGUUCCCCUGGUGCUUUGCUGUUGAUGGUUGCUUGUGUCAUCUCAUGCUACGGUCAUCAUCUCACCACCAGGCUUAGCACCGAGAUGAUCUUUUUGGGAUCAUUGACAACCUGUUGCUUUUGGGAAGGGACGGACUUUACUCCAGAAAGGACUCAAACGUAAAUGUUUGAACAUGAGCAACUUUGCAAAGGAGUUCUCCAGGUGAAGGAGGAGUGAUUACAUGACCCUUGGGGUUCCUUUACCUCGAUCAUUCCCUUGAUACUUGAGUGGAGCAGGACAUAGGGAAUGAAUACAAAGGACAGCAACAGCCUUUCAGAGUUGGAAGGGUUUGACAGGUCCUGACUGAUUUGGGGAUAAGUAGUGUCAGCAGCUUAUGCAGGGGAAGCAGAUGCAUGACCUCAGGGCCUGGCAGGGAGCCAGCUUACUACAGAAUGGGAGAUGAAACCUGGAAAAGAAAAAAAGCCAAACCACAACUUAGUCCCAAAUGCCCAAUCACUAGGAGGAAACAUUCACAGCAAGGCAGCAGGGUGAGGCGGAUCAGAGACACCACAGGAACCUGGCACUGGCUCUUCUUGUUACAGAGGCUGUGCAGAAAGAAAGCUUGCGUCCCUCAGAGCCGAAGGAAGGUCUUUGGAUUUUCUGUUGCUCCCAGAUUGGCUUGGAUAGAUUGAAAGAAGUAAAUGUGAACUCACCCAAUCUUUCCUGCUCUUUGUAGGCCCCAGAGCUAUUGCUUUUUGGGAGCAGAAGGAACGAAGUAGAAGCUACUGACAAUGUAAAUAGCAAACAAACUAACAUUUCCUCACAGUAGGUAAAUUCAAAAUUCUAACACACAGAAAAAUAGCACAGGUUGUGUCCAAGACCACACACUGUCCCCACUCUCAGGCCAAUGCCAUCUCCUCUAUAUCAUGCCUUUUCUAGUCUACACUGCGGCUCUUUGGAGCUGGGGCCAUCUCUUACUGGGCUGUAAAGCAGUACACACUCCUCUACUGUAUGGAGAAUAUUUGUCUUUCAAUUAGCAUCAGUAUUUAUUUGCCU